rnacentral:rRNA from 1 species
UUGUUGGUAAGGUAAAAGCUUACCAAGGCUUCGAUCAGUAGCUGGUCUGAGAGGACGACCAGCCACACUGGGACUGAGACACGGCCCAGACUCCUACGGGAGGCAGCAGUGGGGAAUUUUGGACAAUGGGGGCAACCCUGAUCCAGCCAUGCCGCGUGAGUGAAGAAGGCCUUCGGGUUGUAAAGCUCUUUCAGCCGGAACGAAACGGUUACGGUUAAUACCCGUGACUACUGACGGUACCGGAAGAAGAAGCACCGGCUAACUACGUGCCAGCAGCCGCGGUAAUACGUAGGGUGCGAGCGUUAAUCGGAAUUACUGGGCGUAAAGCGUGCGCAGGUGGUUUUGUAAGUCAGAUGUGAAAGCCCCGGGCUCAACCUGGGAACUGCGUUUGAAACUACAAGACUAGAGUGUGGCAGAGGGGGGUGGAAUUCCGCGUGUAGCAGUGAAAUGCGUAGAGAUGUGGAGGAACACCGAUGGCGAAGGCAGCCCCCUGGGUCAACACUGACGCUCAGGCACGAAAGCAUGGGGAGCAAACAGGAUUAGAUACCCUGGUAGUCCAUGCCCUAAACGAUGUCAACUAGUUGUCGGGCCUUUACGGGCUUGGUAACGUAGCUAACGCGUGAAGUUGACCGCCUGAGGAGUACGAUCGCAAGAUUAAAACUCAAAUGAAUUGACGGGGACCCGCACAAGCGGUGGAUUAUGUGGAUUAAUUCGAUGCAACGCGAAAAACCUUACCUACCCUUGACAUGUAUCGAAGCCCGCAGAAAAGCGGGGGUGCCCGAAAAAAAACGAUAACACAGGUGCUGCAUGGCUGUCGUCAGCUCGUGUCGUGAGAUGUUGGGUUAAGUCCCGCAACGAGCGCAACCCUUGUCAUUAAUUGCCAUCAUUUAGUUGGGCACUUUAAUGAGACUGCCGG